UAUGACUACUGUAAGCAACCAGUGGACCAGGGACUGAAAACUCAACACUCCAGAGCCGAAAGUCUUUGAAAAGUCACCAAUAAAUACAGCUGAACAGGUAUUUCCAAGUUUAAUUAUCUGCUAAGAACACCCUUCCCUGCCAUCUCCUUCUGUGGAAGCACACAGGCCCCUGAACUCUAGCACGGUUGGUCGCGUGAAAAGCCUCUGAUUACAAUGACAGAUCACCACAUUUCAAAAGGAGAUGCCAUGAUAACCACCAGGAAGACCAAAGUCCCCUGUUUAUCCAAAAACAUCUAUGUGUAAUGGAAUUGGAGCUUCUCUGUAAUAAUUUAUGAAUGUUGUGUGUUGACUUGGUUAUUGGGAUGUCUGCUGCAUUCGUUUAUUUUUAGUGUAAUGGGGGGCGCAAACAAGAAGGAAGGGAAGAAGAAUGGCUCAGGAUAAGUCACUUUUCAACAAACAAUGAAGGGGUGUUAAGAGAACUGGUCUUGACAGCAGGGCCAAGGCCUGGGAGCUGGAAGAUCAGAAGAACUCUAGCAGUUUAAAAAGGGACCCCAUCUCAAAAGGAAGGGGGCUGCCCAGGGAAUUGGGGUUUUUUGUGGUGGGGGAGGACUGUACCCAAAGACACCCUUUGGGUGCCUGGAGAAGGUAGGCCUGCAUAGGUUACCAUCAGAGCAUGAUAACACUUCAGGUAAGAUAGGCAUGCUUCUAGAUGGUUGGUUGUUUUAAAAUCCUCUCUCUCUAAAUGCUUUGGUCCUCCUGUUUAAAUAAAUGAUGCUUUUAUUUAAGAAGGCUGUAUGUCACUGGUCACAGACUCCCAAAGGGAAGAACUAUGGGUGUGUGAACACAGCUAGGUAAGAAAGGUAGAUAUACAGUGUGCUGUAGCUCAGAACUCUGUCUAAGAGUGGAAGAAUUGUGGAAUUCCACCCAAGGAGAGGUAAAGGCACAAGGCCUAUUACCUAAGCGGCACACUUAAAGAGACCACAAAGGGGACAGAGGUGCAGCUAGUCCUGCAACUGUGACACACUGCACCACAGACAACAAAAGUGUAAGCUUUCCCACACCACUUUGGCAACAUUCCUCAAACUUGACCUGGAAGGAUCAUCUCUAAGGCUCAAAGGGUAGUUUAUUGGUCAGGCCCAGCCAAUUCUUGACCUCUCUGCUGAGAAUACCAACAGAACUGUCACUUGUAAUAGAUUCAUGGUGUCAAUAAUUGGGACCAUGGCCAACAAGACAUGUAACACAGACUGUGGCUCCAUUGGAGUCAGUGGCACAAUUCCCACUGGCCAGGUCAGCUGAUUCAGUCUUAUGGGGCUCAGGCUGCAGGGCUAUAAAAUUGCAGUGUAGAUGUCCAGGCCUGAGCUGCAGCCCAGGCUCUGGGACCCCUAAGGAGUAAACACAGCUUCAAGCCUAAUCCCCCUUCUAUCAACACACAAAGUGCUAACCCAGGGCUUGGACCCAGCCUGGACCCCGCAGAGUCUGAAUCAAACCAGUAUCCAGAGUUCAAUCCCUAUUGUUUUGCAGUGUGGGCACAGCCCCACUGGACUAGUGCACUGGAAGUCCACCAAAAGUAUUCCACAAUCUCAAAA